rnacentral:rRNA from 1 species
AGUAGUUGAUCAUGGCUCAGGACGAACGCUGGCGGCGUGCCUAACACAUGCAAGUCGAGCGGGGACAUGCGACGGAGACGAAGUUUCGGAUGGAGUCGAAGAUGUGUGUUCUAGCGGCGGACGGGUGAGUAACGCGUGAGCAACCUGUCCUUCACAGGGGGAUAACACAGCGAAAGUUGUACUAAUACCGCAUAAGACCACAGGGGGGCAUCCUCCGGGGGUCAAAGGAGCAAUCCGGUGAAGGGUGGGCUCGCGUCCGAUUAGAUAGUUGGUGAGGUAACGGCCCACCAAGUCAACGAUCGGUAGCCGACCUGAGAGGGUGAUCGGCCACAUUGGGACUGAGACACGGCCCAAACUCCUACGGGAGGCAGCAGUGGGGAAUAUUGGGCAAUGGGGGGAACCCUGACCCAAGCAACGCCGCGUGAGGGAAGAAGGUUUUCGGAUCGUAAACCUCUGUCCUAUGUGAAGAGGAAGAGACGGUAGCAUAGGAGGAAGCCCCGGCUAACUACGUGCCAGCAGCAGC